CAUGCAAGUCGAGCGAACAGACAAGGAGCUUGCUCCUUUGACGUUAGCGGCGGACGGGUGAGUAACACGUGGGUAACCUACCUAUAAGACUGGGAUAACUUCGGGAAACCGGAGCUAAUACCGGAUAAUAUUUCGAACCGCAUGGUUCGAUAGUGAAAGAUGGUUUUGCUAUCACUUAUAGAUGGACCCGCGCCGUAUUAGCUAGUUGGUAAGGUAACGGCUUACCAAGGCGACGAUACGUAGCCGACCUGAGAGGGUGAUCGGCCACACUGGAACUGAGACACGGUCCAGACUCCUACGGGAGGCAGCAGUAGGGAAUCUUCCGCAAUGGGCGAAAGCCUGACGGAGCAACGCCGCGUGAGUGAUGAAGGUCUUCGGAUCGUAAAACUCUGUUAUUAGGGAAGAACAUACGUGUAAGUAACUAUGCACGUCUUGACGGUACCUAAUCAGAAAGCCACGGCUAACUACGUGCCAGCAGCCGCGGUAAUACGUANGUGGCAAGCGUUAUCCGGAAUUAUUGGGGCGUAAAGCGCGCGUANGCGGUUUUUUAAGUCUGAUGUGAAAGCCCACGGCUCAACCGUGGAGGGUCAUUGGAAACUGGAAAACUUGAGUGCA
rnacentral:rRNA from 1 species